rnacentral:rRNA from 1 species
UACGUAGGGGGCGAGCGUUGUCCGGAGUUACUGGGCGUAAAGCGCACGCAGGCGGUCUCUUAAGUUUGGAGUGACAGUUGGUGGCUUAACUGCCAAAGUGCUUCGAAAACUGAGAGACUUGAGGGCUUCAGAGGGACACGGAAUUCCGGGUGGAGUGGUGAAAUGCGUAGAGAUCCGGAGGAACACCAAAGGCGAAGGCAGUGUCCUGGGGAGUACCUGACGCUCGAGGUGCGAAAGCCAGGGGAGCGAACGGG